UACGGAGGGUGCAAACGUUGCUCGGAAUCAUUGGGCGUAAAGCGCACGUAGGCGGACUGUUAAGUCGGAUGUGAAAUCCCUCAGCUUAACUGAGGAAGUGCAUUCGAAACUGGCAGUCUUGAGUAUGGAAGAGGGUCGCGGAAUUCCCGGUGUAGAGGUGAAAUUCGUAGAUAUCGGGAGGAACACCAGUGGCGAAGGCGGCGACCUGGGCCAAUACUGACGCUGAGGUGCGAAAGCGUGGGGAGCGAACAGG
rnacentral:rRNA from 1 species